CCUACGGGAGACAGCAGUGAGGAAUAUUGCUCAAUGGAGGAAACUCUGAUCCAGCGAUGCCGCGUGCGUGAAGACGUAUCUCGGUGCUUAAAGCUCUAUUAGCACGGAAGUAAAUGCCGGUACCUGACUAAGAAGCCCCGGCUAACUACGUUCCAGCAGCGGCGGUUGUACGGAGGGUGCAGGCGUUAUCCGGAUUUAUUGGGUGUAAUGGGGGCGUAGACGGCCGCGUAAGUCUGGAGUGAAAUGUCGGGGCCCAACCCCGGAACUGCUUUGGAAACUGUGCAGCUCGAGUGCAGGAGAGGUAAGCGGAAUGCAUAGUGUAGCGGUGAAAUGCGUAGAUAUUAGAAGGAACACC
rnacentral:rRNA from 1 species